rnacentral:lncRNA from 1 species
GAGUAUUUGUCCUUAUUUAAGAAGGGAGAGCAGUUGAUCUUAAAUUUUUUCUUAAGAAAAAAAAAAAGAUGUCUCCAUUAAAUAUAGUUUGUUGUCCGUGGUUUGUCAUCCGUCGGUGAAAACAUCCUUUCAACCACCGGAUCGGAGAAACCAUUUACUAUUGUUUAUCAUGGGAAAAAAAAGGUUAUGAAAAACCCUAAAAAUCCAUUAGAUAUGAAGUGCUCCGAACACCGCCUUUGAAAACCAUCAGAAACCACCUUUGAAACCCAUUGUCUUUGAAAUCUCUGGAACCCCGAUUUGAAACCUCUCCUCUGCAUCUGCAACCACCUCUGAAGCUCGCUCUGAACCCCUUCUGAGUAUCGGCCUUGAAAAAUCUAUCUGAAAUCUAAUUUGAAACCCUAUGUAAAACUGCCAUAUGAUAUCUUGUUUGCCGGUCGUCUUGUCUGAAGUUGGUCGGCUUCUGCAAACAAUUUUCCGGCAAUAUAUUUUUCCUGUGACCUUGUUUUUUUUGCCGAAAUCAGAGGUUAAGUUAUGGUUCUGGCUUAAAACAUCGAUUUCAUGCCGUGAAACCAAAUCCUCAAGCUUCCUCCAUUGUUUUCUAACGUCCAGCCACCGCUGCCAUCUCUGCGUCACUUUGUUUUCCCCCGUGCUCUCCUUUUUUGUUGUCUGCAAUACAAAACCAAAAGUUAUCCCAUGUUUUGCUCUUGGUUUGCAAUAGCAAAACAAAACCAAAGUUCUCAAUAAAAGAUAAGGUGUCUUGUCUAUUUUGAACAGGACGUACACAUUUAAAAGGCAAAGGGGAUCGUGGGUUGGGUCUUUUG